CAUUAAUGCACCAGUACCCAUUAGAACUUCAUAGUUAAGCGCGUUCAAGCUAGAGUAGUACUGGGAUGGUUGACUGCCUUGGAAGUCCUAGUGUUUUAGAUG
rnacentral:rRNA from 1 species